CAAGGCUUGACAUAUACCGGUAACGGCCAGAGACGGUCGCCCCCUUGUGGUCGGUAUACAGGUGGUGCAUGGUUGUCGUCAGCUCGUGUCGUGAGAUGUUGGGUUAAGUCCCGUAACGAGCGCAACCCUUGUCCUUAGUUACCAGCACGUUAUGGUGGGCACUCUAAGGAGACUGUCGGUGACAAACCGGAGGAAGGUGGGGAUGACGUCAAGUCCUCAUGGCCCUUAUGUGUAGGGCUUCACACGUCAUACAAUGGUACAUACAGAGGGCCGCCAACCCGCGAGGGGGAGCUAAUCCCAGAAAGUGUAUCGUAGUCCGGAUCGCAGUCUGCAACUCGACUGCGUGAAGUUGGAAUCGCUAGUAAUCGCGGAUCUCCAUGUCGCGGUGAAUACGUUCCC
rnacentral:rRNA from 1 species